AUUGAACGCUGGCGGCAUGCCUUACACAUGCAAGUCGAACGGCAGCGCGGGGCAACCUGGCGGCGAGUGGCGAACGGGUGAGUAACAUAUCGGAACAUACCCUAGAGUGGGGGAUAACGUAGCGAAAGUUACGCUAAUACCGCAUACGAUCUAAGGAUGAAAGUGGGGGAUCUUCGGACCUCAUGCUCAUGGAGUGGCCGAUAUCUGAUUAGCUAGUUGGUGAGGUAAAGGCUCACCAAGGCGACGAUCAGUAGCUGGUUUGAGAGACGACCAGCCACACUGGAACUGAGACACGGUCCAGACUCCUACGGAGGCAGCAGUGGGGAAUUUUGGACAAGUGGGGCAACCCUGAUCAGCAAUGCCGCGUGAGUGAAGAGGCCUUCGGGUU
rnacentral:rRNA from 1 species